GACGAACGCUGGCGGCGUGCAUAACACAUGCAAGUCGAACGGAAAGGCCCUGCUUUUGUGGGGUGCUCGAGUGGCGAACGGGUGAGUAACACGUGAGCAACCUGCCCUUGACUUUGGGAUAACUUCAGGAAACUGGGGCUAAUACCGGAUAGGAGCUCCUGCUGCAUGGUGGGGGUUGGAAAGUUUCGGCGGUUGGGGAUGGACUCGCGGCUUAUCAGCUUGUUGGUGGGGUAGUGGCUUACCAAGGCUUUGACGGGUAGCCGGCCUGAGAGGGUGACCGGCCACAUUGGGACUGCGAUACGGCCCAGACUCCUACGGGAGGCAGCAGUGGGGAAUAUUGCACAAUGGGCGGAAGCCUGAUGCAGCAACGCCGCGUGCGGGAUGACGGCCUUCGGGUUGUAAACCGCUUUCGCCUGUGACGAAGCGUGAGUGACGGUAAUGGGUAAAGAAGCACCGGCUAACUACGUG
rnacentral:rRNA from 1 species